ACAGAAGAGACUUCAGGCAGGUCGAUACAUCCAUCUUCACACCCAAAGACGGUCAACGACGGGCUGAAACUAAAAAUAUUAACUGAUAUGAGGGAACAUAUCUGAACAGUUUCGCGGCAGAAAAGUUUAUACCCCCUUUCUGUGAAGAAUGGUUGAGAGGCGGUAUUCGACGACGUCCUGUAUGUACGUCAUAGUUGGGCUAUACAGUGUGGGCCACUUAUUUCUGCAGCCUGGGAAUGAUUUUUCUGUCACAGCAACCCAGGCAGACAUUGAGGCACAGCAGGUGACACCCAGGCUCAUUAUGUUUGGACAUUCAAUUGUGACAGCAUCCAAGUGGAUGCUAUCCAUUGAGGGAAAUGUUCUGUUGGCACUGAACAGCAGUGAUAAAUUUACUGUAUAAAUGCCUUUGCAGUGAACUUUGCAAGCUACAUCUUCAACAUCGAGUACCAGGAGUCUGCUGCUUGUACAUUAGAGCUUGUUCAGGGGCAAGUUAAUUUCUAUGUGCGUUUCGCUUUUAUUAAAAUUGUAUUGUAUUAAAUUAUGUUACUCAAUCAACAGUAAGAAAUAAAAAAUGGAGUAUGGGAGGAAUCUAAUUUGAGAACUAGGUUGAGUGCAUUAGUCUUCUUUUUUUUUCAAGAAUAUUUAUUAACUGGUAUGAUAAUGCUAACAUGUUCCUGGUUCCUGGUUACUGUUAGUGGGACGCUUGUUGUUCUUUUUAGUUGUUGUUGCUCACUUGUCAUUCUUUUACUCAACCCAAUCUUCAAGUUCUCUUUUCUUGAAUGUUUUUGUUUCAUUUACAUUUGUGCACACUUAAAGGGAUAGUUGACCCAAAAAAUGUUAAUUCUGUCAUUGUUUACCCAACCUCAAGUUGUUCCAAACCUGAAUGAAUUUCAUCCUUUUGUUGAAAACAAAAGGUGAUAUUUAAAAAAAUAUUAGUAACCAGA